GGGUUCAGAAAAGGGACCAGUGGCAUCUGCUCACCUCAAUGCCAGACACUUCAGUUUCUCCCGUAUGCCACUGGUGUCCUUCUAGCUGUUAUCCAUGUGCUGGAGCUCAGAGACAGUGAAUCUGAGUAGCUGAGUCCAUGUGUGGGGUCUUCAAAAGGAAUGGGUAAAAAUGCAUUUGAGUAAUCAUAAAGGAAUUCCACUUUUAUAUACCUUUUAAUUUUUUAUUUUUGACUUGGAGAGUAUGUUUACUAAAGCUGGGGACAGUGAAACAAGGAAGAGCUUAGGAUAGAAGAAACAACAGGAGAGCGCCUAAGCUGGCCCACUUUGGUUCUUUAGAAAUGUUACAGGAAAGAAAGGAGCCUGGGUGGAGCUGCUUUCGCUCACGGGAGAGUCAGAGA